rnacentral:rRNA from 1 species
CACGUAGUUAGCCGGAGCUUCCUCCUUAGGUACUGUCCUUUUCUUCCCUAACGACAAUAGUUUACAAUCCGAAGACCUUCUUCCUAUACGCGGCGUCACUGCGUCAGAGUUUCCUCCAUUGCGCAAUAUUCCCGACUGCUGCCUCCCGUAGGAGUCUGGGCCGUAUCUCAGUCCCAAUGUGGCCGUUCAACCUCUCAGUCCGGCUACUGAUCGUUGACUUGGUAGGCCGUUACCCCACCAACUAUCUAAUCAGACGCGAGCCCAUCUAUUAGCGGAUUACUCCUUUCCACUUCCAUCAUGUGAUGAUUAUGGCAUAUGCGGUAUUAGCAAUGAUUUCUCACUGUUAUUCCCCUCUAAUAGGCAGGUUGCUCACGCGUUACUCACCAGUCCGCCACUAAAGCCAUUGUAUAAAAUUUCAAUCAGAUAAAUCUUCAAUUCAUUUUAUAACGACUUCCGUUCGAUUGCUAUGUCUUAUGUGCGUCCGCUAGCGUUUACCCUGUACG